rnacentral:rRNA from 1 species
GUCCACGCCCUAAACGAUGAAUACUCGAUGUUGGCGAUAUACGGUCAGCGUCUAAGCGAAAGCGUUAAGUAUUCCACCUGGGGAGUACGCCCGCAAGGGUGAAACUCAAAGGAAUUGACGGGGGCCCGCACAAGCGGAGGAGCAUGUGGUUUAAUUCGAUGAUACGCGAAAAACCUUACCUACCCUUGACAUGGCAGGAACUUUCCAGAGAUGGAUUGGUGCUCGAAAGAGAACCUGCACACAGGUGCUGCAUGGCUGUCGU